rnacentral:rRNA from 1 species
UUGAACGCUGGCGGCAUGCUUUACACAUGCAAGUCGAACGGUAACAGGGUGCUUGCACCGCUGACGAGUGGCGAACGGGUGAGUAAUGCGUCGGAACGUGCCGAGUAAUGGGGGAUAACGCAUCGAAAGGUGUGCUAAUACCGCAUACGCUCUGAGGAGGAAAGCUGGGGAUCGAAAGACCUGGCGUUAUUCGAGCGGCCGACGUCUGAUUAGCUAGUUGGUGAGGUAAAGGCUCACCAAGGCGACGAUCAGUAGCGGGUCUGAGAGGAUGAUCCGCCACACUGGGACUGAGACACGGCCCAGACUCCUACGGGAGGCAGCAGUGGGGAAUUUUGGACAAUGGGGGCAACCCUGAUCCAGCCAUGCCGCGUGUCUGAAGAAGGCCUUCGGGUUGUAAAGGACUUUUGUUAGGGAGCAAGUCCUGCAGGUUAAGAGCUAGUAGGGAUGAGAGUACCUAAAGAAUAAGCACCGGCUAACUACGUG